CUGCUGUUUGUGUUUCACAAAUCAGUGACUGUCAUCCCUGCAAGCCCCACUCUGAAGGUUCCUGUACUUUCAGAAAGUACUACCCUUCGAUCAGGGACUUUUGGGGGGGGGGAGAAAUUAAGCCCCCAGAACUUAAUUUAGACCCUGCAGUCGAAACAGAACAAGUUCCUCAAAUUGUUCCUAGUUGCAGCGUUAGCAACACGCAGGAUGUCAGGCAAUUAUCCUGGAAAUGUACUUUCAUUGAUCCAGACUAGGCAUGGUGGGUCCUUGCAAAUACCAUUAGGAGUGCUAGAAGGAGCCAGAGGAACCAGAUUUUCACAGUUUAUCUGUCUCAUUUACUACUAUCAGGAUAUGUACAGUUUCAGCAAAUACAGUCUGACUCACCGGAUGUAGACUGUUGAUAUAAGCCUGCCAUUGCCUGACUAUUUCAGACAGCAUUCUCAUCCCCUUCCGCUAUCUUCACUAUCUAUUUUGCAAGGUAAAUCACUGCUGUGAACGCCUUGUCAAUUUUCAAGUCUGUUUCAUCUCUUCAGUCAGGAUCACUAAUGGGUGUGUCAGUUGUGAAUCAGAUUUGAAACAAGUGUGCUUUGUUGCACUUGUAACCACACCCAACAGUGAUGUCACACCAUCCUCUGGAUGUCAACAAAAUCAAGAUGUUCUGGAGGUGUUUUAUGUGUUGAUAAGGCUACUUCAUCAGUCAUGUGAUUAUCUUUAAAUACAAUAAAUACACCCUCUGAGUGUCCAAAAUAGCAUUUUGCCAGUAGACCAGAGUACUGGCCCCUUGUGUAUUUUUACUGGCCCUUAAAAAUAGGGAGAAAAGAACACUUCCAAAUUGUUAAUGUCUUAAUCGUAUAUACAUUGUAAUGAUUAAUCCAAAUAACAAACAAAAUAACUUUGUUGGGGAAACUAAAUUAGUUAACUGCAGCUUCACAAGGUAAUCAAAAUCUUUCUAUCAUACACACAGUACACUGUAUUGGUUUGUAAGUUGAAAGUUUCUUCCUGUCAGAUGUACUGUAAGAAGAACUUAGAAGAAUGUAAUUUUAAUUGAAUCUGAGCACUACAUGUUAACAAGGCUGCUAGUUGAGAUUAUUAGAAUUCUUCUGUUUGAACGCUAAAUGUUUUAGGAAGCUCAGUAACGAAAGCUCUACCUCGUCUGAAUUGUCAAAGUCCAGUUCGGAGGCAAUUUCUCUACUGUACGCAACCCGACACUCCUUUCAGAUUGUUGAUUAUUAAUUGAAUAUUCCCGAAUAGUUGAUUUACGUCUGAUAUUCUAAUCACUCCAUACAUGUUCUACUGUACUGCACUGUAGGAGCCUCCAAUCUGAAUGUUCGGAUGCACUCACUUUAUUUCUCAUCUCUAUCAGAGAUUUAUGACUCAAGUAUAAAAAAUUGCAUUUUACACAAAUCAAAUUAAUCUGUGUGCACUACUGUCAUACCUGGGACAUACUAGAUAUUUGUUUUGUGUUUUGCUUUUAUUCUAGCAGUCUUUUUGUCUUUGGUUAAAAAGCUAUUUUGUUUUGUGCUGUGAGGUGUUGAGCAUGUGUGACUUAAAUAAACUCCAACCUUAUUUAAUGUAUAUCCAAUCAGAGAAGUCUGUGGUGAACAUCGCAGAACACUUGUUUGUUUGUUUGUUUUUGGCAUCAUAUUCUUGCAGCAUGAUCCAAGAGGAUUUUGUUUUGAUCCAGACACUGAAUUUGAUUGAUUUCUUAGUUUUAAGGUUUCUGUUUCAUUCUCACAUAAUUUUUCAAAUAACCUGUCAAUACUUCACAACAUAUCAGAUUCCACCAAAUAUAUGCCUUACUACUGUAUUAUAAAAUGCUUUACUGUAUAUCAAUAAAGCACGCAGUUAUGUUGAUUUAG